CCGGCUUGGUUGUUGGAUAGGAUUGAGCAAGAACGUCGUGGUAGCGGUUGAGGCUUGGUGUCUGCAUUUUUAUGUUUCAGCUUUUUACAAGCUCCUCUGUUUUUUUCAAUUCUGGUUUUUACUACCAAGUUAUUAAUAAAGUUGCUGAAGUGUUUUAAAAAAAAAAACAAAUUAAAGAAACAAAAUUGUAGGAUUUUUAUUAGAGAAUUUGUUAGAAAUACCCCUUUUGGAUUACUUAUUUUUAAAAAUACUCCUAUUUUUUGCCAUUUUGAAAUUUACCCUUCUUUAAUCUUUUAAGACUAUUCUACCCUCAUCUCUUACUCAACCUUUCUUCUCAAAACUGGCAAUCACCGAUUUGUUUUUUUUUUCUCAGAUUGCCGUCUCCGUAUGCUUUACCGUCGUCAAAAUUCGGAACUCGCCAUCGUUGUUUCUUUCUCUAUGGAAGAUUGUUGUUCCCGUAUCUGUCAUUCGUCGAUCUCGUCGUUGUUGAAAUUGGAGAACUCUUUGUUGCUAGGAUCUAUCUCGCCUUCGUUUCUCAACUCCAAAUCGCCUCAUCUCAAAAUCAAUCAUCCAUAGAGACAAGAGAUUAUUCACGCUGAAAUCGUUCAAAAUUGUGGUCGAGUCCAGAUUCAGGUAUCAUGCUUUAAUCCUUGUUUUUGCUUCCUCAUGUUCUCUUCUCUGUUUCAUUCGUCAUUUUUGCCCCUAGAUCUAAAUUCGCGAAUAAAAGCUUGAUUUUCAAGCGAUUUAGAACUUGAUUCACCCCUCUUGUAUUGAUUUCUUCUAGCAUGAUUAUUUUCAUGCGAUUUAGAGCUUGAUUCACUCUUUAGUUGGCUUCAUUGAAAUCUGUUAAGGUUUUGAUUUUAUUUAAUGAAAAAAAUUGGCUCAAGGGUUUGAAAAUCAGCUUGAAAUCUGAAGCAAAUAAACAAGAAUUGUUGAUUUGUGGUAUCUGAGUACGUUCUAAUCUAAUUUAGAAGAGCAUCCAUUGAGACAGACAUGUGUUUUCUAAUUCAAUGAUAGCUUGAAAUUGAAUUUUGAUUGUUUGAUUCAAGUUCGAUUUGUGGGGUUGAUGGGGUUUUUGAAGAAGUUAAUGGUAGAUUCUUGGGUUGAAGACUAACAAUGGUGGGCAUGGAUUGGAUUGGAUUUCUCGUUUUCAAAGCUUUGUUGCUUAUAUGAUUUUGUUUGCCGUGAUAUUAUUGAUUGUUACAGUAAAGAACUGCAGCCUGCAGUAACAAGUUAUGAAGAAGGUAGCAAUCUCUUUUGUGAUUUGAAUGAAGGAGUACCACGUGAGGAAGGAGAAGUGAAUACACAGGAUUAGGAGUGAAGAGUUUUUGUAUAUAAUUAUAACAUGUUCGUUGGCUUUCACUUGAAAAACACUUCAAAACUGUAACACUUGUGUCCUCAUCUUCACUCCCGAUUUCCGGUUCUUCGUGAGUUGUCACCACAUUCACUUCACAUGAUGAUGAAUUGGUUUGAUUUUGUACUUGUUUAAUAACAAUCUUUGAAUAUAUAAUAUGUUUAUUAGUAAUAUACAUUAGAAGUUUUGAAAAAA
rnacentral:lncRNA from 1 species